AAGAUGGACGAGGACGAUCUGACGGCGUACAUCCUCGCCGGGCUGGAUGCGGAUUGGAAUCCGCUCGUCACGUCGAUGACCACCAGGGCCGAUUCGGUCUCGCUCUCCGAGCACUACGCUCACCUCCUGAACUUUGAGA